rnacentral:rRNA from 1 species
GCAUAUCAUAGGCGAGAAAAGAAAAUAACAAUGAUUUCCCUAGUAACGGCGAGUGAAGAGGAAAGAGCUCAAAGUUGGAACCUGUUUGGCUUAGCUAAACCGGAUUGUAAACUGUAGAAACGUUUUCCUGGCACGCCGGAUAAAUAAGUCCUUUGGAACAGGGCAUCAUAGAGGGUGAGAAUCCCGUCUUUGGUCUGAGCUGUUGCCUUUUGUGAUACGUUUUCAAAGAGUCAGGUUGUUUGGGAAUGCAGCCUAAAUUGGGUGGUAAAUCUCACCUAAAGCUAAAUAUUUGCGAGAGACCGAUAGCGAACAAGUACCGUGAGGGAAAGAUGAAAAGAACUUUGAAAAGAGAGUUAAACAGUAUGUGAAAUUGUUAAAAGGGAACCGUUUGGAGCCAGACUGGCUUGAUUGUAAUCAAUCUAGGUUUCGAUCUGGAUGCACUUGCAGUCUAUGCCUGCCAACGACAAUUCUUUUCGGAGGAAAAAACUAGAUUGAAUGUGGCCUCUCGGGGUGUUAUAGCUUUCUAGAAAAUACUCUGGAUGGGAUUGAGGAACGCAGUGAAUGCUUACGCGAGAUUGCUAGGCGCUUUCUUUGAUACAUGCUAGAAUUUCUGCCUCGGGUGGUGCUAAUGUGUAAAGAGGGAACUCGCUUGGUUAAUUUUCUAUUCACUUAGGUUGUUGGCUUAAUGACUCUAAAUGACCCGUCUUGAAACACGGACCAAGGAGUCCACCAUUAGUGCGAGUAUUUGGGUGCCAAACCCAUAUGCGUAAGGAAACUGAUUGAUAUGAAACCGCAAGGUGGCAGUAUCACCCGGCGCUGACGUUUUUAACUGAAUUGACCGAGGUAAAGCACUAAUGAUGGGACCCGAAAGAUGGUGAACUAUGCCUGAAUAGGGUGAAGCCGGAGGAAACUCCGGUGGAGGCUCGUAGCGAUUCUGACGUGCAAAUCGAUCGUCAAAUUUGGGUAUAGGGGGCGAAAGACUAAUCGAACCAUCUAGUAGCUGGGUCUGCGA